rnacentral:misc_RNA from 1 species
GAUGAAGAACGCAGCGAAAUGCGAUAAGUAAUGUGAAUUGCAGAAUUCAGUGAAUCAUCGAAUCUUUGAACGCACAUUGCGCCCGCCAGUAUUCUGGCGGGCAUGCCUGUUCGAGCGUCAUUUCAACCAUCAAGCCCCAGGCUUGUGUUGGGGACCUGCGGCUGCCGCAGGCCCUGAAAACCAGUGGCGGGCUCGCUGUCACAUCGGGCGUAGUAGAUUUUAUCUCGCUCAGGGCGUGCUGCGGGUUCCGGCCGUUAAAAAGCCUUUUUUACCCAAGGUUGACCUCGGAUCAGGUAGGAAGACCCGCUGAACUUAAGCAUAUCAAUAAGCGGAGGA